AUGGUGUUUGAGACUCAGGGGUUGCCGAUCACCGAAUCCUUCGAGGCUCUCAGCACAGAAGAAACGACCGCGCGCCGCUUCAGACCCGAGUGCCGCGGCCGCGACCUCGCACCUGCUCUCCGCUGCGCACCCCGGCUUCGCCGCGCUCACAUCCCAGCGAGGGCCGCUGCAGCCACCGGAGAGCAAUGUUCGAGAUUUUCGUUUUCCUCGAGCGUUUCAGUCUCCGAGGGCCGGCCCCAUGUUCCGUUUUUCCUCGGGGGACCACGCUGUCAAGUAUGUUCCAAUCUGUUUCCGUCUUGGAGUAAACCGACGUGGACUGAAGUUACACCCCAAGGUCGGGGCAGCCCCCGGUGGCAGAGAUCACAGAAUUCCCUGUAUCCGGCACAAAUAAAGUUUCCCCCAAUUACCGAAAGUUUUCGAUUUUCCUGUCUCAAGGUAUGCUUCAUACCUCGUAAUCAUUUCAUGAUUUGGUGCUUUCUAAACCAUACGCCCACCUUUUUUUUACGUUCUUAGUUCUUAACACUUAAAGACUAGGUGCCAGACUUUGUUCUAAGUACUUUACCGGCACUUUUUUCCUUUUUCAAAGAAAUGUUACUGUCUGAAGUACCAUGCUUUGAAAUAAAAUAUGGAUUUGGUAAAGUAUUAUUUAGAGCCCGAUUCAUAAUUCAAGUUAAUUUUGUUUUUCCCCACUACAGCCUUUAAGUUAGGGAGGGAAAGCCUUUGUUUCUGACAGAACUUUUCUCUUCGAUAAGAUAUAUUGAGUCCUUCCUCUGUUCAGGCACCGUUCUAAGCUAAGCUUUUCGUUUAUCUCAUUUAAAUUUCACAGCACUUCCCUGUUGUGAAGUAAAUAAAUUGAGGCACAAAAAUGAAAUAAUUUGCCCAAGGUCUUCAACAACAACAUGGCAAAACUGGAUGCUAGCAUUUUGUGGUAUUUUUCUCAAACUUGCAGUGUCUCAGAUCUCUGAUUCUAGACCAUCUAUCAUGUGGAGGGGGGCGGGUUUUGAGGUACCUGAAUGAGUGAAACAAAGAUACCUGCCCUCUGAUUAUUCAUUGAUUUGAUAAAAAUGGAGAUUGGAUAAAUAUGGAUAGGAAGUGAAUUGGUAUAUUAAUUUAGGUUAUUUGACUAUGCCAGUUGUCUUUAGUAGUGGCUGUGGGUUAGGUGUUACAAUUUUAACACUUAAUAAAGUUUUUGCACUUUCAGCUCCACUCCUUUUUGCCUGUUAAUAACUAGUUAGGUUAUUAAGUUAAUAGCAAAAAAAUGACUGUUUAAGUUUCUCCUCUCUUCUGCCCUCUGGUGGAGGUGUUAGUUACUGAAUGGGAAAAUGGCCCAAAAGAAGCCACACACAGGCCUGGCCUCUGAACAGUUCAAGUUUACUAAGAAUUUAUGCUGAAGGGUACCUUGUUUGUUUUCUGAAUGACAAGAUUAAUAGCAAAACUUGACCAAGUGUUUGGGACGAAGGCAUUAAGAAAGAUUUUCAAGUAAUGACAAAAUUAUGUUAAUUCUCAUGUAUGUUUUAGAAUCUGGGACUUUAAAGCCAUUUAUUCUGUAAUCAGAAAAAAGCACUUAGUAAAAGAAAAAUUCAGAGAUUAUUAGAAGCUUAUUAAAAGCUGAAAAUUUCUAUGGGAUUAUCCUACCAGGGGAUAGGAUUUUGGAGGACUUUGGAAUGCUGGCUUUGAAUUUUAUUUUACAGAUCUUACUGUGCCCGGUGAGUGAUGUAUAAGUUUGUGUCUUAAUGACCAUGAGCUUCUAGAAACUUCUCUGGUGGGUUGUGGUCUUGAGGGCAAAUAAGAGUGGGGAAGGACUAGGAAGGAAGCUAGGCUGGUUUUCAGGAACCCUGGCUAGUGUUCCAGGCUAAUUGGUCUGGGCAAGGUAAGGAGAUAUGCGGCCUAUUUAAUUGGUAAGUUAGGGAAGAGCCAAGCACAGCGGUCACAGUGGCGCUUUCCAUUGAUUAUUUCUGUUUUUAAUAGCAACAGAUACACAUCUUAGGGUCAGAAAAUAAAUUGGAAAUUUUAAGGGAUGAAUACAUGGAGUCAGACACAGCUUAGCAACUAAAUAACAAGCCUUGAAUAGAAGUUGAGCUGAUGGCGUCUUUUUCUUUUUUUGUGAUUUUUUUGUUAGUUUGUUUUAAAUUUAUUUUUUAAUUGGAUGCCAAUUGCUUUACAAUGUUAUGUUGGUUUCUGCUGCUGAUGGCUUGUUUUUGAAGAAUUAAGAAUUCCAAGAAUGUUAACAUUCAUGUUAAUCAUAUUUUGAACUAUCUUCAUCAAUGUAUGUUGGGAUUAUGUCACAAUAAACCCAUGAUAAGUUGAAAAUACUGUAAGUCGAAAAUGCAUUUAGUACGUCAAACCUACUGAAGAUCAUAGCCCAGCCUACCUUAAAAGUGCUCAGACAUUAGCCUACAGUUGGGCAGAAUCAACUGACACAAAGACUGUUUUAUAGUAGUGUUGGGUAUCUCAUAUAAUUUUUUGAAUACUAUACGGAAAAUGAAAACCAGAAUAGUUAUAUGGGUACAGAAUGGUUGUAAGUGUAUCCUUGAUUGUGGUGGCUUGGCUGGCUGGCUGGGAGCUGUGGCUUGUUGCCACUGCCUGGGAUCACAGGAGAAUAUCAUACCUCAUAUUGCUGGCCUGAGAAAAAGUCAAAAUCUAAAGGAAGGUGUCUACUUAACGAGUGUUGCUUUCCCGCCAUCGUAAACUUGAAAACUCGCAAGAUGAACCCUUGAAGUCAGAGACCAUCUUGUGAACGUAAUGCCUCAUUCACAUUCUUAACUAAGGUCAAACUUUACUAAAUAUCCUUAAGAGAAUUGUAAAUACUAAAAAUGUCUUGCCUAUAGCCAGGCUAUGUAUAAAUGUAAUUUGCAUGGAGUUAAUUGAGCAUUUGUUGAUUAUUAGGCAGUUCUGUAGAUUUCUGAUUUUUAAAAAAUCAGUGUUUCAUUAGCAUUUUUUUCCCAAAUGGAGUUGUUUUAUUGUUUUUCACUGUGUCUUAGAAGACCUCGCUGCCUUCUCCUGUAAUUUUUGUUGGAUUUGUGACACUGGGAGCCUAACCAGUGUUAUACCGUUCUCAUUAAAGAAGUGCCCACUGGUAUCAGGGAUGUUUUUAUCUCAUUUCAUGCUAAAGUAAAUUUUUAAAAUUCGUUGUAAGAGUUAAAUCAUGUUUUGGAAAAGCAGACUUAUUACUGGCUGCCUUGGUGGCUCAUUGGUAAGGAACCCGCUUGCCAGUGCAGGAGACAUGGGUUUGACGUUUGACCCUAGGUUGGGAUCCUCUAGAGAAGGAAAUGGCACCCCUCUCCUGUAUUCUUGCCUGGGAAAUCCCAUGGACAGAGGAACCUGGCAGGCUAUUGUCCAAGAGGUUGCAAAGAGUUGGACACUACUGAGCGACUUAACAACAACAAAAGCUUACUACU
rnacentral:lncRNA from 1 species